rnacentral:tRNA from 1 species
GGUAGAGUGGCUGAGUGUUAAGCGGCGGAGUGUAGUUCCGAGGAAAAAGGUUCAAGUCCUUUUUCUACC